AACGAACGCUGGCGGCAUGCCUAACACAUGCAAGUCGAACGAGACCUUCGGGUCUAGUGGCGCACGGGUGCGUAACGCGUGGGAACCUGCCCUUAGGUUCGGAAUAACUCCCCGAAAGGGGUGCUAAUACCGGAUAAUGUCUUCGGACCAAAGAUUUAUCGACGUUGGAUGGGCCAGCGUUGGAUUAGCUAGUUGUUAGGGUAAAAGCCUACCAAGGCGACGAUCCAUAGCUGGUCUGAGAGGAUGAUCAGCCACACUGGGACUGAGACACGGCCCAGACUCCUACGGGAGGCAGCAGUGGGGAAUAUUGGACAAUGGGCGGAAGCCUGAUCCAGCAAUGCCGCGUGAGUUAUGAAGGCCUUAGGGUUGUAAAGCUCUUUUACCCGUGAUGAUAAUGACAGUACCGGGAGAAUAAGCGCCGGCUAACUCCGUG
rnacentral:rRNA from 1 species